UUUGUAGCGGUGUUGUGGUUCGAAUAAUUGCGAUUCACCAUGAUGCCUUUGUUGCUGUUAACAAUGAAACAGCUUUUAGAGCAAAAACAGAAACAGAAGAGGCAAUCUCUCGGAAUGGUCCAAGCUUCAGAUAUUCGACCAACAUCCAGUAACAGCCAAAGAGGAUUGAUUCGAGAAGUCAAGCCCUUGAUGGCUGACUACAGUAUUCAGAGGAAUAGCAAUGAUAGCAUUGCUCUGUGCUAUGACGGGCCUCUUCAGUACACAAUGAACUCGGAUAACCCUGAUGGUACAGCAACAUCAGAAAUUGUGAGGUCAUUUUCAGAGCUAGGAGGUGAUGGAAAUGUUAACAUCCUAAAAUUAGUGCAAACUACCGACAGUUCUCAUGCAAAUGCUGAAGUAAAAAUGACUGAACACUCACGUUCACACGAUGACGACCUAAGAUCCGCGAAAGGGACAAGUCAGUUUCGUUGGAAUCGUGGUGAUCAAAGAUCCAUGAAAAUGAUCAUUCCAUCUCGUGCAAAUGAUGACGUCAAAACUAUCGACCAACCAGAAUUAAAGAAAAAGCUUGAUCGGCUAAACUUGCCUUCUCAAGUAAAUCAUGAUGAAGAAGAAGAGAGAGUUCCAAUUAUUCAGGCUUUUUCAAGUGAAUCAGACCUUCCAACAACCAAUCCUCACACUGUUGCUCAGUUACACCUUGGUGAGAGUCAAGAUUUGGUUAGAAACACCUUAUCAGGUGAAGUUGCACCUGCAGAAGAUGUGAGUGAAAGGGUCCAGAACUCCUCAACAUUGUCAAAUGUAACUAAAAAUUACAAAGACAGUCAGAUAGACAAACAAGUGUCUGGGCCCAGUGUGGAUUUCUGUAAAUUUGAAAACUUGUUGGAGAAUCUACCUGCAUUUGUUAAUGAACCCUGCCCCUGGGGAAUGACAAUUAGAUGUCGUAUAACUCGAGAUAACAAAGGGGUGGACCGAGGAUUUUUCCCUACAUAUUUUCUGCACUUGGAAAAAGAUAAUGGAAAAAGAAUUUUCUUGCUUGCCGCGAGGAAGAGAAAAAAAAGUAAAACUUCAAACUAUCUAAUAUCAGUGGAUCCAAUUGAUAUGUCACGAGGAGGUGAUUAUUUUGUGGGAAAAUUGAGGUCUAAUAUUUUUGGAACGUCUUUCACUCUCUUUGAUGGUGGAAUUAACUCAAAGAAAGCAAGCCUUUUUGAUGACAAAAAUAAUCUGCGUUGUGAACUUGCCACUGUUGUUUAUGAAACUAAUGUGUUGGGAUUUAAAGGUCCAAGACAAAUGACUAUUAUUAUUCCACAAAUUUCAUCUGACAACAAGAGGAUAGACAUAAGACCAGUAUCUGCAAGAUACUGAUACUUUAUUUGAAAAGUGGAAAAGAGGAAACAUUGAAAACUUGUUGGAACUUCACAACAAAGCUCCUGUGUGGAACAAUGAAAGUCAGAUGUACAUAC
rnacentral:misc_RNA from 1 species